rnacentral:rRNA from 1 species
AUUGAACGCUGGCGGCAUGCUUUACACAUGCAAGUCGAACGGUAACAGGGAGCUUGCUCCGCUGACGAGUGGCGAACGGGUGAGUAAUGCGUCGGAACGUGCCGAGUAGUGGGGGAUAACGCAUCGAAAGGUGUGCUAAUACCGCAUACGUACUGAGGUAGAAAGUGGGGGACCUUCGGGCCUCACGCUAUUCGAGCGGCCGACGUCUGAUUAGCUAGUUGGUGAGGUAAAGGCUCACCAAGGCGACGAUCAGUAGCGGGUCUGAGAGGAUGAUCCGCCACACUGGGACUGAGACACGGCCCAGACUCCUGCGGGAGGCAGCAGUGGGGAAUUUUGGACAAUGGGCGCAAGCCUGAUCCAGCCAUGCCGCGUGUCUGAAGAAGGCCUUCGGGUUGUAAGGGACUUUUGUCCGGGAGCAAAUGCCUGGUGUUAAUAGCACUGGGAGCUGAGAGUACCGGAAGAAUAAGCACCGGCUAACUACGUGCCAGCCGCCGCCGUAA